GGCUCAGUAACACGUGGAUAAUCUGCCCUUAGGUCGGGGAUAACUUCUGGAAACUGAAGCUAAAACCUGAUAUGGAAAUUCUACUGGAAUGUGUUUUUCCGCAAACUCGUGCCUAAGGAUGAGUCGGCGGUCGAUUAGGUUGUUGGUGAGGUAAUGGCUCACCAAGCCUAUGAUCGAUAGGGGCCUUGAGAGAGGGUAACCCCGAGAAGGGCACUGAGAAUACUGGCCCUAGCCCUACGGGGUGCAGCAGGCGCGGAACCUUUUACAAUGCACGAAAGUGUGAUAAGGGAAUCCCAAGUGCUUUACUUUUAGUAAGGCUUUUGCCAUGCGUAAAUAGCAUGGCGAAUAAGUGGUGGGUAAGACUUGUGCCAGCCGCCGCGGUAACACCAGCGCCACAAGUGGCAACCGCUUUUAUUGGGCCUAAAGCGUCCGUAGCCGGUUCAGCAAAUUUUCUGUGAAAUCGUUAGGCUUAACUUAACGCCGUGCAGAAAACACUACUGGACUAGGGACCGGGAGGCGUCAGAGGUAUUCUUGAGGGAGCGGUAAAAUGCUAUAAUCUUCAGGAAGGACCACCGAUGGCGAAAGGCAUUCUGACCGAGAACCGGAUCCGACCGGUGAAGGGUCGAAAGCUUAAGGGGAGCAAAACCGGAUUAGAUACCCGAAGUAGUCCUAGCUGUAAACGCUGCGAGCUAGGUGUUACGUAUUCUUCGGGAAUACGUAGUGUCGAAGCGAAGGUGUUAAGCUCGCCGCCUGGGAAUUAUGGUCGCAAGACUGAAACUUAAAGGAAUUGACGG
rnacentral:rRNA from 1 species